UACGUAGGCAGCGAGCGUUGUUCGGAGUUACUGGGCGUAAAGGGUGUGUAGGCGGUUGUUUAAGUUUGGUGUGAAAUCUCCCGGCUCAACUGGGAGGGUGCGCCGAAUACUGAAUGACUUCGAGUGCGGGAGAGGAAAGUGGAAUUCCUGGUGUAGCGGUGAAAUGCGUAGAUAUCAGGAGGAACACCGGUGGUGUAGACGGCUUUCUGGACCGUAACUGACGCUGAGACGCGAAAGCGUGGGUAGCAAACAGG
rnacentral:rRNA from 1 species